rnacentral:rRNA from 1 species
UAGUUAGUGGCGCACGGGUGCGUAACGCGUGGGAAUCUGCCCCUUGGUUCGGAAUAACAGUUGGAAACGACUGCUAAUACCGGAUGAUGACGUAAGUCCAAAGAUUUAUCGCCGAGGGAUGAGCCCGCGUAGGAUUAGGUAGUUGGUGUGGUAAAGGCGCACCAAGCCGACGAUCCUUAGCUGGUCUGAGAGGNUGAUCAGCCACACUGGGACUGAGACACGGCCCAGACUCCUACGGGAGGCAGCAGUGGGGAAUAUUGGACAAUGGGCGAAAGCCUGAUCCAGCAAUGCCGCGUGAGUGAUGAAGGCCUUAGGGUUGUAAAGCUCUUUUACCCGGGAUGAUAAUGACAGUACCGGGAGAAUAAGCUCCGGCUAACUCCGUGCCAGCAGCCGCGGUAAUACGGAGGGAGCUAGCGUUAUUCGGAAUUACUGGGCGUAAAGCGCACGUAGGCGGCUUUGUAAGUAAGAGGUGAAAGCCCAGAGCUCAACUCUGGAAUUGCCUUUUAGACUGCAUCGCUUGAAUCAUGGAGAGGUCAGUGGAAUUCCGAGUGUAGAGGUG